UGGGUAAUCUGCCCUCGAUUCUGGGAUAGCCCGGGGAAACCCGGAUUAAUACCGGAUAGCCUCUCGAGCUUUCGAGCUCUUGAGAAAACGGUAGCUUCGGCCUCCGAUCGAGGAUGAGCCCGGCGGCGGAUUAGCUUGUUGGUGGGGUUAAUGGCCUACCAAGGCGACGAUCCGUAGCUGGUCUGAGAGGACGAUCAGCCACACUGGAACUGAGAUACGGUCCAGACUCCGUACGGGAGC
rnacentral:rRNA from 1 species